GAUGAACGCUGGCGGCGUGCCUAAUACAUGCAAGUCGAGCGAACGGACGAGAAGCUUGCUUCUCUGAUGUUAGCGGCGGACGGGUGAGUAACACGUGGAUAACCUACCUAUAAGACUGGGAUAACUUCGGGAAACCGGAGCUAAUACCGGAUAAUAUUUUGAACCGCAUGGUUCAAAAGUGAAAGACGGUCUUGCUGUCACUUAUAGAUGGAUCCGCGCUGCAUUAGCUAGUUGGUAAGGUAACGGCUUACCAAGGCAACGAUGCAUAGCCGACCUGAGAGGGUGAUCGGCCACACUGGAACUGAGACACGGUCCAGACUCCUACGGGAGGCAGCAGUAGGGAAUCUUCCGCAAUGGGCGAAAGCCUGACGGAUCAACGCCGCGUGAGUGAUGAAGGUCUUCGGAUCGUAAAACUCUGUUAUUAGGGAAGAACAUAUGUGUAAGUAACUGUGCACAUCUUGACGGUACCUAAUCAGAAAGCCACGGCUAACUACGU
rnacentral:rRNA from 1 species